CACUUGUUGGCUCUCCUGCUCUUCUUUAUACAAUAAAUCAUACACUUCUUUAGUGGUUGUGCUCAUAUCAACAGUGUACAGCUCUCCUGGUCGUGGUACUCCAUCCAGGUGUUCUCUGGUGUAGAUAUUUAAAGCAUUGGCUUGGUAGAUUAAUUGCAGAUUUGUAUCAUCAAAGAAAUCAUCUACUACAAGCUGGGCUGCACGAAAUUUGUGAAUAUCCUCCACUGUUGGUGCCACAUCAAUUGUUGGGUGAGAAAAUGUAUCAUGACAAAUGACUCCUAUACCAGGUUGAGGAUGAGAUAUAAGAUUAAAGAGAAAAUUCUGGAUAGCUACUUGAAGGGAAAGAUGCUUAUCAUGCUGUAACUUGAAGAUUUUAUCUUUACAAUCAUGAGUGUAUUACCACUUUGAGGUGGCACACCACUUUCUGCUCUUUGAGUACUAGAAGAUGAAGGCCUGAAAAAGUCCAUACCUGUCAAAGAAGAAGCCGAGAUAAGAUAUCUGCAAGUGUAUUAUCAGCUCCUUUUAUAUGCUCAAAUUGUGGCCUAAAUCCAUUUCCUGUAAUACAAUCUAUAAAAUUGAC